rnacentral:rRNA from 1 species
GGAUGCGAUCAUACCAGCACUAACGCACCGGAUCCCAUCAGAACUCCGAAGAUAAGCGUGCUUGGGCGAGAGUAGUACUAGGAUGGGUGACCCCCUGGGAAGUCCUCGUGUUGCAUCCC